rnacentral:rRNA from 1 species
GAGCCCGCACAAGCGGUGGAUUAUGUGGUUUAAUUCGAAGCAACGCGCAGAACCUUACCUAGGUUUGACAUCCUUUGACAAUGCUAGAGAUAGCACUUUCGUAGCAAUACGACAAAGAGACAGGUGCUGCAUGGCUGUCGUCAGCUCGUGUGGUGGCAUGUCGGGUUAAGUCCCUCAACGAGCGCAACCCCUAUGUUUAGUUGCCAGCAUUAAGUUGGGCACUCUAGACAGACUGCCGUGGUUAACACGGAGGAAGGCGGGGAUGACGUCAAGUCCUCAUGGCCCUUACAUCUAGGGCGACACACGUAAUACAAUGGUUGAUACAGAGGGAAGCGAAAUGGUGACAUGGAGCAAAUCUCAAAAAGUCAAUCUCAGUUCGGAUUGGAGUCUGCAACUCGACUCCAUGAAGGCGGAAUCGCUAGUAAUCGCGGAUCAGCACGCCGCGGUGAAUACGUUCCCGGGCUUU